rnacentral:misc_RNA from 1 species
GAUGAAGAACGCAGCGAAGUGCGAUAAGUAGUGUGAAUUGCAGAAUUCAGUGAAUCAUCGAAUCUUUGAACGCACAUUGCGCCCCUUGGUAUUCCAUGGGGCAUGCCUGUUCGAGCGUCAUUUGUACCUUCAAGCUUUGCUUGGUGUUGGGUGUUUGUCCUGAGGGACUCGCCUUAAAGUAAUUGGCAGCCAGUGUUUUGGUUUUGAAGCGCAGCACAAGUCGCGAUUCAAGGCUAUACGCCAGCUUCCACAAGCCUUUUUCACUUUUGACCUCGGAUCAGGUAGGGAUACCCGCUGAACUUAAGCAUAUCAAUAAGCGGAGGA